rnacentral:rRNA from 1 species
GACGAACGCUGGCGGCGUGCUUAACACAUGCAAGUCGAACGCGCCUGUCCUCUGGGUUUCUGGGGGGUGGGUGAGUGGCGAACGGGUGAGUAACACGUGAGUAACCUGCCCCCUUCUUCGGGAUAACGGUCUGAAAGGGCUGCUAAUACCGGGUAUUCACUGGUCUCCGCAUGGGGUCUGGUGGAAAGGUUUUUUUCUGGUGGGGGAUGGGCUCGCGGCCUAUCAGCUUGUUGGUGGGGUGAUGGCCCACCAAGGCUUUGACGGGUAGCCGGCCUGAGAGGGUGACCGGUCACAUUGGGACUGAGAUACGGCCCAGACUCCUACGGGAGGCAGCAGUGGGGAAUAUUGCACAAUGGGCGCAAGCCUGAUGCAGCGACGACGCGUGAGGGAUGGAGGCCUUCGGGUUGUGAACCUCUUUCGCCCGUGGUCAAGCCGCGACGUGGGUCGUGGUGAGGGUAGUGGGUAAAGAAGCGCCGGCUAACUACGUG